GUAGUACUCCCUCUGUUCGGAAUUACUUGUCACAAAAAUGGAUGUAUCUACAACUAAAAUACAUCUAGAUACAUUCAUUUCUUGGACGAGUAAUUUCGAAUGGAGGGAGUAUGCA
rnacentral:pre_miRNA from 1 species